GUUGGUACUAAAAAUAACAGGUAAAUAUUGGUGUCGAAAAUACGGGAAAUACCAACCUUGUUUAUCUCCCUUUAUUUCCUUCUCGCUGUGACGUCAUAUGAGUCCUUUGUUACAUUGGUAUCGAAUACAUGUGUUAGAACGUAAACUUGUAAACAACGUUAACCGGCUAUGGUGUUUUGUGUUGCAUACAACUGUAAUACUGGAUCAGGUCAGGGAUUAUGUUUGUUUACAUUUCCGAAAGACCAACAAAGACGAAAGAUUUGGACACGAAAGGUGAAGAGACAAAAUUAAACUUUGUUCAACGGAGCAUUCCAGAUUAUGACCCCAAACACUUGGAUUUUGAUCAAUUUGUUAUUGAUGCAAGGAUUGCCUCGUUCAUGACAUUCACACCAAAUCAGAAUAAGACUGAAAGCAAAUGUUAUGACUUUAUUUAAUUAUGACAAGACGGCAGGAACAAACUUCUGCCCUUCCUGCAGGGAGCCAGCCCAAGUAUGCAUCUAGAACAUAGCCAUAGGAAAAUGACGGAGAUUAGA
rnacentral:lncRNA from 1 species